rnacentral:rRNA from 1 species
CAGCCGCCGCGGUAAUACGUAGGUCCCGAGCGUUGUCCGGAUUUAUUGGGCGUAAAGCGAGCGCAGGCGGUUAGAUAAGUCUGAAGUUAAAGGCUGUGGCUUAACCAUAGUACGCUUUGGAAACUGUUUAACUUGAGUGCAGAAGGGGAGAGUGGAAUUCCAUGUGUAGCGGUGAAAUGCGUAGAUAUAUGGAGGAACACCGGUGGCGAAAGCGGCUCUCUGGUCUGUAACUGACGCUGAGGCUCGAAAGCGUGGGGAGCAAACAGGAUUAGAUACCCCAGUAGUCCCUGUCUCUUAUACC